GACGAACGCUGGCGGCGUGCUUAACACAUGCAAGUCGAACGCUGAAGCUCAGCUUUUGUUGGGUGGAUGAGUGGCGAGCGGGUGAGUAACACGUGAGUAACCUGCCUCCUUCUUUGGGAUAACGCCCGGAAACGGGUGCUAAUACUGGAUAUUCACUGGUCUUCGCAUGGGGGUUGGUGGAAAGGGUUUUUCUGGUGGGGGAUGGGCUCGCGGCCUAUCCGCUUGUUGGUGGGGUGAUGGCCUACCAAGGCUUUGACGGGUAGCCGGCCUGAGGGGGUGACCGGUAACAUUGGGACUGAGAUACGGCCCAGACUCCUACGGGAGGCAGCAGUGGGGAAUAUUGCACAAUGGGCGCAAGCCUGAUGCAGCGACGCCGCGUGAGGGAUGGAGGCCUUCGGGUUGUGAACCUCUUUCGCUCAUGGUCAAGCCGCAACAAUGGUUGUGGUGAGGGUAGUGGGUAAAGAAGCGCCGGCUAACUACGUG
rnacentral:rRNA from 1 species